rnacentral:lncRNA from 1 species
UUUCGAACCUCUUGACCCACUUGAAUAAAAGCCUUCCCUUACUCAACCAAAUGAUUUGGACCAAUUGACCAUUUGCAGGAAUUCACUUGAUAUUUUAUGCUUAAUGAAUGUGAGAGUUGGUUGAUUUGAAUGUGUGGAUGCUUGAUGAUGAGUAUAAGGGCAAAAGGAGUUGAGAUAGGCCUAGAGAAGCUAGAGUGUAAUGAGAGAGUGUGCUCAUGUUAGAGUAGAUGUUGAAUCGAGUGCUAGUUGUGUUUCUUUUGGCUUUGAGCUCCCACCUUCAAACCUCUCUCCCUAUGAGUUCUAGAAAGUUCACUUGUGGACAAGUAAAAGAACAAGUUUGGGGGUGUUGAUAUCUUGCAUAUUUCCAUUGUCUUAUCCAUUCACCCAUGUGCAU